GCAAGUCGAGCGAAGCAACAGUCCGCCGCAAGGUGGAUAUGUGCUUAGCGGCAGACGGGUGAGUAACACGUAGAUAACCUUCCCUCCAAAGGGGGAUAGCCCACCGAAAGGUGGGGUAAUACCCCGUAUGAUCACAGGUUGGCAUCAACCUGGGAUGAAACAUCCGCAAGGAUGGAUGGAGGACGGAUCUGCGGCCUAUCAGCUAGUUGGCGGGGUAAAGGCCCACCAAGGCAACGACGGGUAUCCGACCUGAAAGGGUGACC
rnacentral:rRNA from 1 species